rnacentral:rRNA from 1 species
GACGAACGCUGGCGGCGUGCUUAACACAUGCAAGUCGACGAGUGGCGAACGGGUGAGUAAUACGUGAGUAACCUGCCCUCUUUUUGGGAUAAGCCUUGGAAACGGGGUCUAAUACCGGAUAAAGGGGGAUGGGCUCGCGGCCUAUCAGCUUGUUGGUGGGGUGAUGGCCUACCAAGGCGGUGACGGGUAGCCGGCCUGAGAGGGUGAGCGGUCAUAGUGGGAAUGUGAUACGUCCCAGACACCGACGGGAGGCAGCGGGUGGGGAUAUUGAACAAUGGGCGAAAGCCUGAGGCGGCGACGCCGCGUGGGGGAUGAAGGCUUUCGGUUUGUAAACCUCUUUCGCUAUCGAAAGGGUAGGUGGAGAAGAAGCGCCGGCUAACUACGUGCCAGCAGCAGCGGUAAUU